CAUGAAGCUGGAAUUGCUAGUAAUCAUAGGUCAGCAUACUAUGGUGAAUACGUUCCCGGGCCUUGUACACACCGCCCGUCACACCAUGAGAGUUGAGAAUACCCGAAGUCCAUGUCAAAGUGGCCGAAGGUAGGCUUGAUGAUUGGGGUGAAGUCGUAACAAGGUAAC
rnacentral:rRNA from 1 species